UGGCGGACGGGUGAGUAACGCGUGGGCAACCUGCCCUGUACAGGGGGACAACACUUAGAAAUAGGUGCUAAUACCGCAUAACGGGGGAGCCGCAUGGCACCCCCUGAAAACUCCGGUGGUACAGGAUGGGCCCGCGUCUGAUUAGCUGGUUGGCAGGGUAACGGCCUACCAAGGCGACGAUCAGUAGCCGGCCUGAGAGGGCGGACGGCCACACUGGGACUGAGACACGGCCCAGACUCCUACGGGAGGCAGCAG
rnacentral:rRNA from 1 species